AUAUUAAAAGUGGAGAUUGAAGGGAAAAUGAUGUAUAGAAGAGAGAUUUUAACUUCAAAGUGACAUAAGUAAUUUGAAGAAGAAAUCAGGGUACAGAAGGAAGAUGAAGUGAGGGUACAUGGAAAAGAUAGCCCUCUAAAAGCCAACAAGAGAGGCCGGAGAAGACACCAACCUUGACAGCACCUUGUUCUUGGACAUUUCUACCCUCUAGACUUCUGAGAAGCAUACAGCAUUUUGGCCUUUCCAAAUAUCUGAAGAAGAACAAAACAAAUACAAGGUUGGGCCCAAUUGAAUUCAAUGGGAGAUCUGGAGCGGAAGGAGUCAAGGUUAUUCUACCUUCUCCAUGCUUUGAUAACUUUAACUGUGGGAUUCUAGUUAAAAGAACAUGAUUAUCCAAAGAAGUGAGUGAAUAACCCAUGCAAAUAUCUUGGGGAGGACCAAUCCAGGCACUUCAGGAAUAUCAAAAAGGCCAAUAUGACUGAAGCAGAGUAAUGACAGAGUGAUAUGGAUUAGCCUACCAUCAAGUUAUUUAGCCUACCAUCAAGUUCUUUGGACUACUUCUUAAAAUUAAGCGGGUGGAGCCAAGAUGACUGAAUAGGAACAGCUCCAGCCUACAGCUCCCUGCGUGAGCGACACAGAAGACGGGUGAUUUCUGCAUUUCCAACUGAGGUA
ensembl:lncRNA novel transcript